GAAAACUGACUCCAUGCUUCAAAGUACGUCAUCACACCAUGACUCUGACAUGUACAUAAAGAUGUUGAUAUUUCCUAAGGGAAGAGAUCUCCUUUUUGUACAUCUGUAUUUGCAAAAGAUAAAAUUUCUUGAGAUCUCAGCUGUUUGGGUGACUGUAUAUGCAAUGGUGACCCAUGGCGGUUUUUGAUCCAUCUCAUCAAAUGACUGUUUGAAAAAUACUGCUGUUCAUGACAAUAUUUCAGUUACAAAGCUGGAUGCACACAAUACCAGCCAUAGUAAUGUGUAUUUCUACACUUCCCUUUCUGAUGUAUUUCUUUAUGAAUAUGGUUCAUCUGUUCAUAAUUGUUAUACCCAUGUGACUGUCAUUAGUAUAUCUGAGUGUUUAUGCUUGCAAAAAUAUGCAUGCUGUUUUUGCCUAUUUAUUGUGUAAAGUGGCCAGUUAAGUGUUCUGUCAUGGUUUUUGUUUUUAGUUUGUUUGUUUAGAGACAGUCGCGCUCUGUUGCCCAGGCUGGAACGCAUUGGCGCAAUCAUGGCUCACUGUAGCCUUGGCCUCCUGGGCUCAAGGGAUCCUCUUCCCUCAGCCUCCUGAGAGGCUGAGGUGGGAGGAUAGCUUGAGCCCAGGACUGACAGGCUACAUGAGCCAAGAUCGCUCCACUGCACUCCAGCCUGGGCGACAGAGCAAGACUCCGUCUCAAAA
rnacentral:lncRNA from 10 species